AAGUGCUCUUCCAGCUGCCAUUCGACACUCCAAGCGUUGGAGGUAAUCCCGUAUUUAGCCUCAAGUCUAGUAUGGACUUCAAGUACACUGUCGUCCAACAACGCAUCUGGAAGCUUUAGCUUAGACCAGAGUCGUCUGGUAAGUAAUUAUCUUUAUCACUCGUAGUUCUAUUUUAAAACUCUGUUAGAAUUUGAUAAGAAAUAGGGAAGUAGAUAAUGCAUUCUGUUUUUGUAGGAAAAAGGCGUGCGAGAGAGAAAACGGAGCAGAAUUUUAUGGGAUGAGGAAAGAAAUCCACACACAACCAACUUGAAGUUGGACGAUUACGUUACAGGUACCUUUGGUGAAUAUUUUGAUUUUUAUUGGUUUCUAAAUUUUGUUUAAUUUUUUGGAAUGUUUUUAAAAAACCGACUAAAAUUUGUAAUCUAAAAAAAAGGAAGUUUUGGAUUUUGACGAAGAACCCAACUUUUUUACCCAAUAUCAAUUUUGUAACUCACAAAUUAGAAAAAAGAAGGAUUUUUUGUUGUUCGUUUAGUUAAGUGGUAAUUAGCAUACGCCCCCCCAUGUCAUAAUUCAAAAGCCCCAUGCUCCACAUUUAUUUUAAUUUAAAAAGAAACAUUUUUGAAGUUGAAAAUGUCAAAUGUAUACAGUGCAGCGAAGAAAAACAAGAAAUACAUAAAAUAGAAUUUAAUGUAAUAAAAUAAUAUAAACAAUUAUUGGCCAAAGAGUUGCAAAAACAGAUUGCAAAAAUAUGGAAUGAUGAAAGAGCCAAAGAGGAGACUUGUUGUUUGAUGCUUGCAAAAUGAGAACGGAAGCAGACCAUGCCCUUCUCUUCCUAACUAAUAAAUCAAAUAGGAAAAGAAAAGAAAGGAUUCAUCUAAAGGAAAAUUGGAUUUCUUCAAGGGUCCUGCCUUUGGUCUCAGGAACCCAAAGUGUAACAAAUAGCACCAUGAAAGCAGUCACCACCAAGUAAAUUGUGAAUGUUCCUGCAAAGCCCAUAAGCUUAAACGGUUAGAUUUACACUCACUAUUUCUAUUAUCUAACAUCCAUGAGUGUUCUUGCACACUUCAACUAUUCAAAAUAACUUGUAGAAAGUUGUUUUAUCAGUUGCAUCUUCUUCUUUUGGCCUACUAAAUUAGUUUCAUGCAUAUUCAUGGUUAACAAUGGUGGAUCCAAAAGUUUUCUAUGUACAAUGGUGCAUAUGACAUAGCAAAAAUUCUAACAGAAGGGGCUUUCGUGAGUUGUAAGUUAAUGUUACUUCUCUAAUGUGAAUUUACAUGUUUGAUUUUUCUUUUUUAAUGGAACCCAAUAUAUGAAGAGUAGUUAACAUCCAUGGAGAGAGAUGACAAAAUCCUAUGACCUGUGAGUUCAAAUGAAACUUUUGUGCUAAAAAAUGUUUAAUUUUGUAAAUACGUACAUAUAUAUAAUAUUACUUCCAAAGAAAAGUUAAUUUUGUAGAUAGGUACAUAAAUAUAAAUUACUUCCCUUUUUCUCUCUUUAGUUCUCCGUGGCUAGUACAUCAAAUUAGGAUGUCUUAGUUGAUGUAAUACUCAAUUUGACGGUUGAUAUUGCAUUACUAAAAUUCAAAUCCAGUCACAUUAAAUCGCCACUAGACCCAAAAACUUGAGAGAGAAUCAUACCUCCGCUGCUCCAUUGUAAGAGCAGGUUCGCUGACAUUGUGACUGCCCAUGCGCUAAACCAAUUGGCUAGUGUUGCUAUACUACCAGCAAGACCCUUGAUAUUCACAGGAAGAAUCUGCACCCCAACAACAUAUAAUUUAGCUUAAAGUUGAUAGAGAAUUUUGUAGCUUAUGUUCUGAAUAAGUAUAUUUCUAUUAAUCUCUAAACCAUGCUGAUUACAAGGUUUUGUGAUUUUACAGUGGAAGAGAAAAAAUAAACAGAUGAAGGAGAGAUAUUAUAACGAGCAUACCUCAGACAUUAUGAUCCAUGGAAUUGCUCCAACACCCAGAGAGAAAGUGACAACCAUGGCCUGAAAAAAGAUAUCUCCUAUUGACUCAUAUGAUCAAAC
rnacentral:lncRNA from 1 species